AUGUGUUGCCUCCCGAUCUCAAUGAGUUGCCAAAUGAUGAUGUCGAGUUUGUACAUUCAGGGGUUUUCACACAGCCUCAUCAAGAUCAUGGCUUCUGAAUUGCCACCUAUGCUAGAUCCUAUACCAGACCCCAAACCUUUGGGUGAAGAAGAAGAAAUGGAAGAAGUGCCAAUAUUCGAUGGAGAGGAUAGUGGAAAAAAGAAGAAUAAGAAGAAGCGCAAGAGAGAAAGGAUAAAGCAAACACAAUGUAAGGCAAAAAUGCUGGUUAAAUUGAAGGAUGGGCGGUGGGAAGUAACCCACUUUGUCCGUGAUCAUAAUCAUCCUUUGGUCCCCAAGACUUCGCUCUCCAAAUACUUGCGAUCUCACAUGGGUAUACCGCCGGAGGAAAAGAAGUUCCUAGAGAUACUCUACAACUGCAACCUGACUUCAGCCGUAUGA
rnacentral:rRNA from 1 species